rnacentral:rRNA from 1 species
CUACGAAGGGGGAGCUAGCGUUGCUCGGAAUCACUGGGCGUAAAGCGCACGUAGGCGGACUCUUAAGUCGGUGGUGAAAUCCUGGAGCUCAACUCCAGAACUGCCUUCGAUACUGAGAGUCUUGAGUCCGGGAGAGGUGAGUGGAACUGCGAGUGUAGAGGUGAAAUUCGUAGAUAUUCGCAAGAACACCAGUGGCGAAGGCGGCUCACUGGCCCGGUACUGACGCUGAGGUGCGAAAGCGUGG